rnacentral:rRNA from 1 species
AGUCUGGUGCCAGCAGCCGCGGUAAUUCCAGCUCUAAUAGUGUAUAUUAACACUGUUGCGGUUGAAACGCUCGUAGUUGGAGUGUUGUUGUAGAUUAUUAGUCUGUCCCAGGGACAAGCACUGUAUAUGCAUGCAGCAAUGUCUUGAUCAUAUCUCUACACUUAGUUGUGUAUUGUGGUGAAUCAAUCAGUAUACUUUGAAGAAAGGAGAGUGUUUCAAGCACCCUUGUAGUAGGAUACAUCAGCAUGGAAUAAUACUUAAAGACUACUUGUUGUGUCUAUUGGUUGCCGAGAGUAGGUAACAAGGAGGAGGAUAAUCGGUGGUAUCUGUAUUGCACAAUCAGAGGUGAAAUUCUUGGAUUUAGGCACGAGAUUCGAUGGCGGGAGCAUUUGUCAAGCUUAUUCUUAUUGAUCAAGAACGAAAGUUAAGGGAUCGAAGACGAUCAGAUACCGUUGUAGUCUUAACCAUAAACUAUAUCAACCAGAUAUUGGCGGGUACAUAUUAUGAUCCCGUCAGCAACUUGAGAGAAAUCAUAGUUUUCGGAUUCUGGGGGGAGUAUGAUCACAAGAUUGAAACUUAAAGGAAUUGACGGAAAGGCACCACCAGGAGUGGAGCGUGCGGCUUAAUUCGACUCAACGCUGGAAAACUUAUCAAGUCCAAACAUAGAAAUGAUUGACAGAUUGAUUGACUUUUCUCAAUUUUGUGGGUGGUGGUGCAUGGCCGUUCUUAGUUGGUGGAGUGAUUUGUCUGGUUAAUUUCGAUAACGAUCGAGAUCUUAACCUACUAAAUAGAUGCAAUAUGUGCACGCAUGACGUAAACUUCUUAGAGGUAAUAUUUGCGUAAAGCAGAAGGAAGAGGAAGGUAAUAACAGGUCUGUGAUGCCCUUAGAUGUCUUGGGCUGCACGCGCGCUACACUGAAGCACGUUACAAGAAUAUCUAACCUGAGAAGAUUGGGAAAUCUUACAAUGUACAUCGUGAUGGGAUUUGUUCAUUGUAAUUAUUGAAUAUUAACGAGGAAUUCCUAGUAAGUAUACAUCAUCAAUUUAUUCUGAUUAAGUCCCUGCCCUUUGUACACACCGCCCGUCGCUCCUACCGAUUGAGU